GACGAACGCUGGCGGCGUGCUUAACACAUGCAAGUCGAACGGAAAGGCCCUGCUUGCAGGGUACUCGAGUGGCGAACGGGUGAGUAACACGUGGGUGAUCUGCCCUGCACUUCGGGAUAAGCCUGGGAAACUGGGUCUAAUACCGGAUAGGAGCCAUUUUUAGUGUGAUGGUUGGAAAGUUUUUUCGGUGUAGGAUGAGCUCGCGGCCUAUCAACUUGUUGGUGGGGUAAUGGCCUACCAAGGCGGCGACGGGUAGCCGGCCUGAGAGGGUGGACGGCCACAUUGGGACUGAGAUACGGCCCAGACUCCUACGGGAGGCAGCAGUGGGGAAUAUUGCACAAUGGGCGCAAGCCUGAUGCAGCGACGCCGCGUGGGGGAUGACGGCCUUCGGGUUGUAAACUCCUUUCGCUAGGGACGAAGCUUUUUGUGACGGUACCUAGAUAAGAAGCACCGGCUAACUACGU
rnacentral:rRNA from 1 species